UACGGAGGGUGCAAGCGUUGUUCGGAAUCACUGGGCGUAAAGGGCGUGUAGGCGGCCCGCUAAGUCUGAUGUGAAAGCCCGGGGCUCACCCCCGGAAGGGCAUUGGAAACUGGCGGACUCGAGUCCCGGAGAGGAGGGUGGAAUUCCCGGUGUAGCGGUGAAAUGCGCAGAGAUCGGGAAGAACACCCGUGGCGAAGGCGGUGUGCUGGGUUGCAACUGACGCUGAGAUGCGAAAGUGUGGG
rnacentral:rRNA from 1 species